AGUGAACGCUGGCGGUAGGCCUAACACAUGCAAGUCGAACGGCAGCACAGUAAGAGCUUGCUCUUACGGGUGGCGAGUGGCGGACGGGUGAGGAAUACAUCGGAAUCUACUUUUUCGUGGGGGAUAACGUAGGGAAACUUACGCUAAUACCGCAUACGACCUACGGGUGAAAGCAUGGGAUCUUCGGACCUUUCGCGAUUGAAUGAGCCGAUGUCGGAUUAGCUAGUUGGCGGGGUAAAGGCCCACCAAGGCGACGAUCCGUAGCUGGUCUGAGAGGAUGAUCAGGCACACUGGAACUGAGACACGGUCCAGACUCCUACGGGAGGCAGCAGUGGAGAAUAUUGGACAAUGGGCGCAAGCCUGAUCCAGCCAUACCGCGUGGGUGAAGAAGGCCUUCGGGUUGUAAAGCCCUUUUGUUGGGAAAGAAAAGCAGCAGGUUAAUACCCCGCUGUUCUGACGGUACCCAAAGAAUAAGCACCGGCUAACUUCGUG
rnacentral:rRNA from 1 species